AACAGGCUUAUCUCCCCCAAGAGUCCACAUCGACGGGGAGGUUUGGCACCUCGAUGUCGGCUCAUCACAUCCUGGGGCUGUAGUAGGUCCCAAGGGUUGGGCUGUUCGCCCAUUAAAGUGGUACGCGAGCUGGGUUCAGAACGUCGUGAGACAGUUCGGUCCCUAUCCGUCGCAGGCGUAGGAAAUUUGAGAAGACCUGUCCUUAGUACGAGAGGACCGGGAUGGACGUACCUCUGGUGUACCAGUUGUCCUGCCAAGGGCAUGGCUGGGUAGCUAUGUACGGAAUGGAUAAGCGCUGAAAGCAUCUAAGCGCGAAGCCAACUUCAAGAUAAGAUUUCCCACCGCAAGGGUAAGACCCCAGAAAGACUAUCUGGUUGAUAGGUCGAAGGUGUAAGUGCAGCAAUGUAUUUAGCUUAUCGAUACUAAUAGGUCGAGGACUUGACCAAU
rnacentral:rRNA from 1 species